UUUAGAGUCCUAAUCACUGUUUUGCUUGUUGUUCAGACCGGUCUCACUGCUAGCCCAGAUUCAAGGGGAAAUCAGCUGAGAAGAAAUGGAAGGAGUUGUUGGUGGCCAUCUUUACAGGAAAAUCUGAGCCAACUCUCUGGGAUGCUGGAUCAGAGUCAGGGCUGAGAAAGUCCCCUACACUGGGUGCCGUCAACAGAAAAGAUAUUUUUAAACACAAACAAUUUCCCAGGCAUCCAUGAAAAGCAACAAUAGACUUCUCUAAAAUGAGUCUUGGUGAGGAGCUGUUCUCGUUCUGUGACUUUCAUGUCACUUGGACACUUUGGUGCUGAGAAAUGCUUAUUUGCCUGUCGACGUCACUGCAUG
rnacentral:lncRNA from 1 species